UUAAGUGCAUAUAAUUCCCAGUUUCCUCAGUUUCUUCUUCUCCAUAGUUUCUUUCCAUCGUUAACCAUCAUCGUCAUCGUCUCCGAUUUUCUUCCCCAUUGUUUCUUCCUUCCACAGUUUCUUCUUCCCCAUUGUUUUUUUUUUUAAAAACCUUAAAAUCCAUCCUUGAGCUUCGGCCUUCCUUGUCUCCGAUUUUAUUUUCCGUUCGUCAGAUGGCCUCCAUUUUUCAACUGAAUCUUCAGUUCAUUUUCAUCACUGCUAUCGCCCCCUAUUGCCCCCUAACAAACCCAUUACCCCCUAACAGUUCAUUUUCAUCACUGUUAUCUCUAGUUCAUUUUCAUUAGAUAGCCUCCCACCAAACCCAUUUCCCCCUAACAGAACCACCAUACCCAUCUACCAUCACCCCCUGUCCCUAAUAUAACCCAUUUUCCCAUCGUUGAACCACCACGCCCAAAACCCCCGCAAUACAAUAACCCAAUAUUUUCUCACCAUUUCUCUUCACUUAUUUAACUUCCCAUCCAAGAUAAUAACAUUUUGGUUUCCGCUUCUAUCAAGGUCUUUUGAACCAGAUUGCUUAUUCCCAACCAUGAAGAAAUCAACCCUCUUCUCUAUUUCUCUCGCUACUUCAAUUUCUGCUUGUACUUCCAAUUUUCAGUUUACAAGCGAGUUAAAUAUUAAAGAAACUAUGGAAGGAAGAAACAAUGGGGAAGAAGAUUGGAGAUGACGACGACGAUGGUGAACGAUGGAAAGAAACAAUGGGGAAGACGAAAUUGUGGAAAUUGGAAAUUAUAUGCAUUUAAUAAUUUUAUAUUUAAAAAAAUAGUUUUAAAA